rnacentral:tRNA from 1 species
GUCAGGAUGGCCGAGGGGUCUAAGGUGUCAGACUCAAGUUCUGGUCCACGAAUAUGGUCGUGGGUUCGAAUCCCACUUCUGACA